UGUUUGUGCAUGGCCAUUCUUAUGUGGAAGAAUGAUUUGUCUGGUUAAUUCCAAUACUGAAUAAAACACUGACAUGCUAAGUUACAUGACCCCCUAAGUGGUCAGCAUCCCAACUUCUUGGAGCAACAAGUGGCAUUCUGUUUCCCAAAUUUGAGCAAUAACUGGUCUGUGAUGCCAUUAGUAAUUACUCUAGAUAAUUUUGGGCUGAUUACAUGCCCCCCAUGGUUAUGAUGAUGAACCAUUUGAAUAUCUGUCUUAUCAACUUUCUAUGAUACUUGCUAUGUCUACUGUAGUGACUUCAGGGUCAGGGUGGUAGGGAAUCACAGUUUGAAUUUGGAGAGGGAGCCUGAAAAGUAGCUAUCACAUCCAUGGAAAGCAGCAGGCACAAAAAUUAUCACCUCCCAACCUGAGAAGGUAGUGAUGAAAAAUAACAAUAUAGAAUUUUUUUCAAGGUCUUGUAACUGGAAUGAGUUCACUUUAAAUCUUCCAAUAAGGAUUCAUUGGAGAGCAAGUAUGGUGCCAUCAGUUGUGGUACUUGUAGCUCUAAUAGCA
rnacentral:ncRNA from 1 species